rnacentral:tRNA from 1 species
UGGGGGAUCGUCUAACGGCAGGACAUCGGACUCUGACUCCGAGAGUGGAGGUUCGAAACCUCCUCCCCCAGCCA